UACGUAGGCAGCGAGCGUUGUUCGGAAUUACUGGGCGUAAAGAGUGUGUAGGCGGUGAUCUAAGUUCGGUGUGAAAUCUCCCGGCUCAACUGGGAGGGUGCGCCGAAAACUGGAUUGCUGGAGCGUGGGAGAGGAAAGCGGAAUUCCUGGUGUAGCGGUGAAAUGCGUAGAGAUCAGGAGGAACACCUGUGGUGUAGACGGCUUUCUGGACCAUAGCUGACGCUGAGACACGAAAGCGUGGGUAGCAAACAGG
rnacentral:rRNA from 1 species